CAGGAGUAAAGCUGCUCUCUGCUCUACUGGAGGAUCCACACUGUAAACUGGAGAAACUACAGCUGAGGGGCUGCAGUAUUGGAGAGAAAGGCUGUGCUGCUCUGAUUUCAGCUCUGAGAUCAAACUCCUCACACCUGACAGAACUGGAUCUGAGAGGUAAUACACCAGGAGACUCAGGAGUGAAGCUGCUCUCUGCUCUACUGGAGGAUCCACACUGUAAACUGAAGAAACUACUUAUUUGACAGUAGAAACUCCACAAGCUCCAAACAACUGAAUCAAAACAACACGUCUUGAACAAGACUGUCACCUGGACAUUAACCCCCUGGGGUCGAAGCAUCAGUGCGGUCUGUGUAAUAUUUUCUUGAUGACCGCGAACAGAACUAAAAAUACUUUGAUCAUUUUUGAUCGUACAGAUAAGAAUAAGGUAUUGUUUUAAACUGCACAGGGUUUACUUUUUUUGUUUAUUCACAAUAAUAAUAAUAAAAAUUAUAAUAAUCAAAUAAAAAGACAUGCUGGCUAUUAACAAUCAAAUGAAAUCACUAUCAACUAAAUUCAUAGAUGGAUUGUGAAUAAAUGUUAUGUUUAAAUAUAACAUUGUAAUAUAGAAAUAUUUAAUGAUUGCAAAAAUGAAAUAAGAUACUUUUUGUAAUGUGGUGUUUGGGUUUUGUUUCAUGUUCUUGUUUUCAUGUCUCUUAUUUUGUAGUUUGUUUCUUGCUGUGUGUCAUACUUCCCUUGCCCUCAUGUAUCUCUCCCUUGUGGAUGUGUCGUGUUCUGAUUGGUUUAUUGUCUUGUCAUGUGAUUAUCAGUUCUGUUUGCUCAUUGGUUUGUUCAUUGUCUGCUAUAAGUACUCAUGUUUUGGCCACUGUCCCUUGUCAUGUAUUAAUGUUGUAUCCUGCUGUUGGUGAGUCUAGUCUGUUCAUGUCUAGUCUAGUCAAGUCUGUUCAAGUCAAGUCUUUGUUUAUUGUUUGUUUAUUGUUUGGAUUUUGGAUCACUCUGUAAAUAAACUGCACUUGGGUUCUCACAACGCUUGCCUUCAUUGGACUCGUUACACUUUUUUAAAUAUGAAACUACACCUGCCAGUAGGUGGCAGCAAGUGACUGUUUAAUGAGUGAGUUGAAUCAACUGAGUCGUUUAAAAAUCUGAUUCAACUAACUUUGCAAACGAUUCAGCGGUUUUGCUGUUUGUUCUCAUUUCUUUCUGAUGGAGCAAAAACUGACUUUUGUGUCUGAAAAUCAGGGUAUCUUCCAAUAAUUAGUAUUUUUUUUUAAUACUGAAAUCUGAAAAAUGGCACAUAUUUCAUAAUAAUUGUCCUCCGCUUCUAUUGAUUCUUAACAUGUUUAUUUCUACUACAUUUGAUCUCUUUCUCUUCAUUAAACAGCCAGAUUAUGAAUGGCUUAACUGUACUGAGGCAGAGCCUUUGUUGCUUUGGCACACCGUCUGAUCAAUAGCUAACUAUCAAAAUCUGUGUAGCAAAGCUGUGCAACACUGCAGAGCGGGGAGAAUGUAACGGCUGUCUAUAAUAAUUGGUAAAUGCAUUGUUGUCUUUAAUAAUGUUUUUUUUUUUUAAAGACAGGAACGAUGAAUGUGUGUUGUGCACAGACCAACGGCCAAGGCAAGGACUUUCCUUAAAUAUAUUAAAUCUCAGUUUGUUUUUCCACCAAACCCUAACAGAUCUGAUUGUGAGAGUGUAAUGUUUGUAUUUGAACACUGCGUGUGACAGCAUGAGCAUGCUGAUCAUGAUUUUGAUUGUAAAAUGACUGUAAUACUGUGUCCAAAGUGAAAGAGCUCUGUCUGGAGGUCUGGGGUUUCAUGAGACAGCAGCUACCAAUCUCUAC